CGGGAAAAAAGUAGGAAAAACGGGAAAAUUGGUAUAUUAAACAAAUAUUAUUAAAGAUAAUAUAUAAUGCCUAUCUAAUUAUUUUACCAUAAUAUGACAUAUAUAUACAUUGAUAACAAAGCAUCACUAUCAAAUGAACUCCGCUCAGAAUAGUUUUUUCGUUAGUAAUGGUUAAUCGUUGCUAAUAGAUAUACAUUAAAUUACCUAUAACCGUGGCUGCACCCGUUCUAAUUAUAUUAGGACGUCUUUUUUUAUACUUAGUAUGAAAAAA